rnacentral:rRNA from 1 species
UUGAACGCUGGCGGCAGGCCUAACACAUGCAAGUCGAGCGGCAGCGCGGGGCAACCUGGCGGCGAGCGGCGGACGGGUGAGUAACGCGUAGGAAUCUACCCAGUAGCGGGGGAUAGCCCGGGGAAACUCGGAUUAAUACCGCAUACGCCCUAAGGGGGAAAGCAAGGGAUCGUAAGACCUUGCACUAUUGGAAGAGCCUGCGUUGGAUUAGCUAGUUGGUAGGGUAAAGGCCUACCAAGGCGACGAUCCAUAACUGGUCUGAGAGGAUGAUCAGGCACACCGGAACUGAGACACGGUCCGGACUCCUACGGGAGGCAGCAGUGGGGAAUAUUGGACAAUGGGGGCAACCCUGAUCCAGCCAUGCCGCGUGUGUGAAGAAGGCCUUCGGGUUGUAAAGCACUUUAGUUGGGGAAGAAAAGUAAUAAGUAAAUAAUUUAUUGCUCUGACGGUACCCAAAGAAUAAGCACCGGCUAACUCUGUGCCAGCCGCCGCCGUAA